rnacentral:tRNA from 1 species
CAGUAGCGGAGUGGAUAACGCUGUGGCGUUUUAAGCGAAUGGUACUGGGUUCGAGUCCCAGAGUGAA